rnacentral:rRNA from 1 species
AUGCACGCUGGCGGCGUGCUUAAUACCUGCAAGUCGAGCGAACGGACGAGAAGCUUGCUUCUCUGAUGUUAGCGGCGGACGGGUGAGUAACACGUGGAUAACCUACCUAUAAGACUGGGAUAACUUCGGGAAACCGGAGCUAAUACCGGAUAAUAUUUUGAACCGCAUGGUUCAAAAGUGAAAGACGGUCUUGCUGUCACUUAUAGAUGGAUCCGCGCUGCAUUAGCUAGUUGGUAAGGUAACGGCUUACCAAGGCAACGAUGCAUAGCCGACCUGAGAGGGUGAUCGGCCACACUGGAACUGAGACACGGUCCAGACUCCUACGGGAGGCAGCAGUAGGGAAUCUUCCGCAAUGGGCGAAAGCCUGGCGGAGCAACGCCGCGUGAGUGAUGAAGGUCUUCGAAUCGUAAAACUCUGUUAUUAGGGAAGAACAUAUGUGUAAGUAACUGUGCACAUCUUGACGGUACCUAAUCAGAAAGCCACGGCUAACUACGUG